rnacentral:rRNA from 1 species
AUGGCGUAUGCAAGUGAUGAGAGUAUGUUCGAGUAUGUAAAUGUUGUCAGCAAGAUGUUUGAUAGUGAGGCUGAAGGCUAUGAAUUCUACAACAAAUAUGCUCUUGAAAAAGGUUUUAGUGUGAGGAAAAGCUACGUUGAGUGGGAUGGAUCCAACAAAUACAUAAUUUUAAGGAAAAUUGUGUGUAGUCGUCAAGGGUUUCGCGAAGAUAAGCACAUGAAAAGAAAGAUGGAAGAUAGAAAGAGGAGGCCACGAAGUUUAACUCGUGUUGGGUGUAAUGCUAAAUUGGUCAUUACGAGACAGGAGGAAACCGGUCGGUGGUUUGUCAAGGAUUUCAUUGAUGAGCACAGCCAUCCUCUAGCCCCACGGGAUCUUCCUUGUCUGCUGCGUUCGCACAGACGAAUUAGCGGUGAGCAGAAAGCGGACAUUGCGGACAUGGAAAAAUGUGGGAUCCGCAAAUACCGUAUUAUGGAUAUUUUGUGCUUUCAAUACGGUGGAUUUGAUAAGGAAAGAAUGGAUAAAAAGUUUGGAGUGCGCAUUGAAGAGCAAGGAGGUCUUUUGCACAGGAGGUACCGCGAGUUGCAUAAUUGUAGUCACGCCGCAAGUUUCCAGGCAUGCCACUCUGAUGAGGACUAUCACCGUCUAAAGAUGCUUUUGCAAGCACAACAUCAUGGCAAGCAAUCAAGUUUUGAACAAGCUGACAGCAAGGAGUCAACUAAUGCUCAGCAUAACAGCAUUAGGUUUGGCCCGUUGAUGCCGCACUCGCAGAAAGUUGAUAAGGUUCUGAAUCCCAUGCAUGUGCCAGGAUGA